AACCUACUGCCUUGAACUCUCAUCAGUCCUAAUAAAAGGUGAGGGGUGAGCUUGAGGGCUAUCCUGCAAACUGGGCAAGCCGUGGUGAUGCAGAGUUCUACCAGUAGGCCACUGGGCUGGCCUGGCAAUAGUUUUUAGCAGAGUAAAAAUACCUGACUUUGACAGCCAGCAUGCUGGUUUGUGUGUGCAUAAUUUGCUGUGAUCAUGCUAUAAAUCAAGAUGAGACUGCUAAAAUUAUGUAUGACCUCAUUUGAUAGAUUAUCUAAUAAGGAAUUUGCUAAUGCAGUUUAUCACUUAAAAAGCCAUACGACUGCUAAGGAUGAGUACUUUGCUGCAGCACAUUUAAACCUAAUUGUCAGAGGAGAAAAGCAAGCGGAUUUCAGAGGUGAGUUAGAAGAGCAUCCUUAUGAGGAUGAUGUCUUCACUAAAUCAGUGGUGCAAUGCAGCAAGCAGGGUGGAAAGGAGUCUCCUCUGGAUAAAGUCCUGUGACUCAUUUAAAAAGACUGAACAUCACUUUGACGUACACAAACAGAACUAGAAAGCAGCUCAAGCCAAUGAAACAAAGCUUGUUUUGCAGGAAAACAUUAGGUAAACAUUCCUAGAAAGACAGAAGUGAAAUGCCUGGCAGGAACUACAGCAAGCAUCUGCUGCUCAGUGGUUAAAGAUUGCCCAGCAAAGCCCAGGGGACGCGAGAAGAGAGCAAGGCUGAAGCUGAGGUCAUACCUGAGGAUCAUUCUACAUUCCUCCAAAGGGUGGAAAUCCCACCCUACCACACAUUCUCCUAGAUCAUAUGGGAGAUCUUCAGCUGAGUCACUGUAGAAGAGCAAUGUAGAAAUUUCCAAAGCUGGAAGGAGCAAAGUUUUACAGACAUCCUAUUAUGUUCAACUUACAUAAUCUCAGUACUUAGCUGCUUAGAUAAUAUAGUGAUAGAGCUUUAUGGAAUUAAAAGAGAAAAAGCUUCUCACAGAUAAUAUUAUAGCAAGAAUGGAAUUAUAGUGCUCAAAAAAUCUGUAAAAUAAGUCUCAUUUUCUUUCUGGCUUUAUUGGACAUUUCCAAGAGGGACUUAAUGCAACAAAGAUGUUAUCUCAACACCUAAUGGUGAUGACAUAAUUUACACUGAUCUGUG